ensembl:lncRNA
AUAGAGAAAUAGAAACCAGUUUUCUUGUCCACGUGUUCCUUAUUCGAAGCACAGUUUUCUCAGUGUAACUUAGUGGCCCUGUUUUUUUGAGGUGACUGCUGAGUCUGCCCCUUACCACACACAUUUUAACACCGCCCUGAGAAAAGCACCUACUUUGAGGUGACUGCAGGUAGGUCUUCCACACCAGGUAACCACGUUUCUGACUCCUUUUCCUGACACCGUGGUCCCCUUGGUGUCUUUCCUUUUCCUUUAAUUACCCCCCUGGACAGUGAAGUGCAGCAUCUCUCACUAAUAUUCUAAUAUUCUCUUCACCUUUCGUAGUCUCUUGAAAUAGGAGAGGAAGGAGAUGACAGCUGUGGAAUUUUUUUUUUUUUUUUUGAAACACCUGCAAAGGCAAUAUGGCAUUAUUCGUCCCUAUUUGCAGGGCUGGCAGUGCGUUGAGUUGAAUAAGUAUUCUCAGUACUAGCCAGAUUCAGCUAAAAUGAAGCUGCUUGAAGAUUUGAGGUCAAACAAAACUUUAUGUUGAGGGACCACUUCUUUGUUUGAGUCAAGAUGAGUGGCCUUUAUUGGCUCAGGGACGCCUGCAGGUCAUUUCUGCAGAGUUAAAAUAUGUUUCUCCGUGGUCUGCAGGACACUUAAGGUAUAUAAAAAGUAAUUUUCGAAAUGUGGUUCUGGAGCCGCCAGUGGUCUAACAGCCGUAGAGGGUAUGACUGCUUGUCCUUGUGUGGAGUGGCGAGUGGUCCAGGUACCUGAAUUUAAGUGCCCGUCUGCUCUACAAGCCUGAUGGGGAUGAUCCGGGUGAUGGCUCCGUCUUGGCCAGCUGGGGACCAUGACCCUGGCACACUGGAUGAAGCCCCUUCUCCCACAGGGUCGCAGUAGAUGUUUUGUACUUGAGGUUGUGGGGCCUCCAUGCUGCUUGGACUUAGGGACCUUUCCUUCUUGGCAGCCUUUGCUUCUGCCACCAGGUGCUGGAGUCAGAGAUAAGCUCCAGGGGCCUAUUAAUAUUGCUGAGGGUAGACAGGGAUAAGUAUCUCAAAGGUUAGACCCACUCUGAUGAAAGCCUUGGAAACUGAUACAGACUAACCAAACUUUGCAAAUAAGUUAAGAUUUACAGUGUAUAUGGACUCUUCAAUGAAAAGGGUGUUAAUCUGGAAACGUGUGUUUGUUCACAGACGAAUUCCCAUUUCAUGUAUGUGUGUACAUUGUAAGGCAUGAAGGGUAGGUUGAUCAUUCUGUGUGAGGUAAUUUUGUUUGUUUAAGGGCCGCACGUUCCCAGGCCAGGGGUCACAUCGAAGCUGCUGGCCUAGGCCACAGCUGCUGCAACUCCAGAUCCUUUAACCCACUGAGGCCACAAAUUGAACAUGCAUCCUCAUGGAUACUAGUUGGGUUCUUAACCUGCUGCACCGCAGUGGGACCUCUAUGGGCUGGUGCUUUUAAAAUUUUCUUUUUAUUUAUUCAUUUUGUAAGGUGGAUUAGUAGCACCCAUCUUGUAUCCUUAGCGUUAUGAUCUUGGGUCCAGACACAGGCUCUUAAAACUGCCAAAUUGGGCUGCGAUUAGAGGCAAGUGCUCGCUUUCAGAAGGGAGGUUUUCUGGGGUUUGUUAAGAUGGAUGCCUGUUGUUCCUUCAGAUUGUAUUAUAUUGGCACUUGCUUGCACUGCAUGUGGUGGAGGACACUGAUAUUCUUGACUGGUCUGAUCAGUCUUCGCUUGUAGUCGUACCUUGGAGACAGUGAUCCUGUGCUUGACUCACAAGUUCAGGUAUCGUACUGGUCUCAGAGUUCAUAUUUGGACCCUCGCAUCACCUCAGACUGGAAUUCAGCUCCUAGUAGCCUCUGUCAUUCUAAAGCUGCUUCAGUCUGACCCUCUAUCCUCAGGAAGCUUUUUUUGUUUGUUUUUAGGGUCGCACCCUCAGCCUAUGGAGGUUCCCAGGCUAGGGGUCUAAUAGGAGCUGCAGCCACCGGCCUAUGCCACAGCCACAGCAACACCAGAUCUGAGCCACGUCUGCAACCUACACCACAGUUCAUGGCAAUGCCGGGUCCUUAACCCACUGAGCGAGGCCAAGGAUCGAACCUGCAACCUCAUGGUUCCUAGUCAGAUUCGUUUCUGCUGUGCCACGACGGGAACUCCUGUUUAUGUGUUUUUAAAAUAUACUUUAUAUAUGGGAAAAUGUACCUUUUAAAAACGUGGAGUCCUGGAUAUUGUGACAAACACGCUCAGCUGUUUGACCACCACUGCAGUCAUGAUAUGGGACAUCUCUGUUACCCCCAAGGUUUCUUUGUGCUCCUUGCAGCCAGCGCCUCCUCCCGCACCCCAAUCCUAGGCGGGCCAUCCAUCAGUUCCCCGUCCCUGCAACCACAAGGCCAUAGGGACGAAUUGUCCAGUAUGGAGCCUUUGGAGUCUGGCUGCUCUUGCUGGCUGUGGUGCCUGGGAGUCAUCCAUGUCACUGUGUUGUGCGUAGGGCAUUGUCUUUAUUGCUGAGAGGUACUCUGCCAGCGUGUACCAGAGUUUAUUUAUCCGUUCACCAACUGAAGGACAUUUGGAUUAUUCAGUGUUUGGUA